rnacentral:rRNA from 1 species
CCUACGGGAGGCAGCAGUCGAGAAUCAUUCACAAUGGGCGAAACCCUGAUGGUGCGACGCCGCGUGGGGGAAUGAAGCUCUUCGGAUUGUAAACCCCUGUUAUGUGGGAGCAAAUUAAAAAGAUAGUACCCCACGAGGAAGAGACGGCUAACUCGGUGCCAGCAGCCGCGGUAAUACAGAGGUCUCAAGCGUUGUUCGGAAUCACUGGGCGUAAAGGGUGCGUAGGCUGUGUCGUAAGUCGUGUGUGAAAGGCGCGGGCUCAACCCGCGGACGGCACAUGAUACUGCGAGACUAGAGUAAGGGAGGGGGAACCGGAAUGCUCGGUGUAGCAGUGAAAUGCGUAGAUAUCGAGAGGAACACUCGUGGCGAAGGCGGGUUCCUGGACAUUAACUGACGCUGAGGCACGAAGGCCAGGGGAGCGAAAGGGAUUAGAUACCCUUGUAGUC